rnacentral:rRNA from 1 species
UACGUAGGGGGCAAGCGUUGUCCGGAAUCAUUGGGCGUAAAGAGCGUGUAGGCGGCUAGAUAAGUCCGCUGUGAAAACUCGAGGCUCAACUUCGAGCUGUCGGCGGAAACUAUCUGGCUAGAGUCCGGAAGAGGAGAGUGGAAUUCCUGGUGUAGCGGUGAAAUGCGCAGAUAUCAGGAAGAACACCCGUGGCGAAGGCGGGUCUCUGGGCCGAUACUGACGCUGAGGAGCGAAAGCGUGGGGAGCGAACAGG